rnacentral:piRNA from 1 species
UCCAAGGAUCUGCAGCUCUGGAGCUACC